CUUGUGAACGCUACUUAGGAGAUCACUAGCUUCCGUAAGAGUGAAUAUGAUACAGAUAUUGAUUCUUAAAGCUUCUAUCACCAGGCCAAGAUCAGAGAGAUGGGAGAAGUGACUUAGGAUGCUGCCAACCGGGACUCGGGAGCACAAGUAGACCUUACUGUAGACCGGUAAGACAGGGUAUGUGCCACGAUUCCUCAGGGGCCCUCCUAGCCAAAGACAGCCUAGAGAAGACAGCAAUGAAGAGGCUAAUGAGAACCAAGGAGAGGAGACCCGAAGUCAGCAGCCACCUCAGCAUCAGUACCAUGGCAACUUCAGUUACCAUUGCAGACACCCAGAAAACCCUAAACCACGAGAGGAUAAAGAGACAAAAGCAGCCUAGCCAUCAGCUAAGAAUUCAGCUGUUCCUGAGGCUGAGCAGGGCAGGACAGAGUAAAUGCCCACUUACCAUAUCCACGGUGAUCUGGUUCAGUCAUCCUACAAAAAGGAAUCAACAUGAAAUGCUAGCAAUAAGACGUGAACAAGACAUUGGAGAUGAAGACCUUAAGUGCUUGCUUUUUGCCCGUUCACCAGAUAAAUAGAACUAUCUGU